rnacentral:lncRNA from 1 species
UGACUUGACAGAGAACUUCCCAUCAAAUGCAUACUCCGGAGCCAUGUAGCCACUGUAAUGAGCUCUGAUGCAUUAUUCUCUAUGAGAAGAGUAUGUAUACAUAACUGCUUUGUGUGUGUGUGACACUUACUAUGUCCCAGCAACUCGUUUUGUUCUCGCUGUAGACUGAUCGCCUUCAAACAUUCUAGCUAGACCGAAAUCUGAGAUCUUCGCAUUCAGAUUCUCAUCUAAUAAGAUAUUGCUUGCUUUUAGGUCCCUGUGGAUGAUUUUCACUCUGGAAUCAUUAUGGAGGUAAACCAUACCCCUUGCAAUCCCCAUGAUAAUAUCGAAGCGCUUUGGCCAAGUCAAUAGUGGCCUUCUUUCUUGAUCUGCAUGUGUUGAAGAGUAUUACUAAGGUAAAAAUAAAACUGUAAUCUCUUGGAUAGAGUAGAAACUGUAGAAAGAUUUUCUCGAAAUUAUUAUCCAAACCAAAAAUGAAAUAGUCCAAGCUUUUGUUCUGCAUGUAUUCAUAGAUCAACAUCUUUUCCUCCCCUUCAAUGCAGCAUCCCAGGAUUUUGACCAGGUUCCUGUGCUGGAGUUUCGCGAUCAAAAUGAAUUCAUUUCUGAACUCUUCGGGGCCUUGUCCAGAACUCCUCGACAUUCUUUUCACCGCAAUUACUUGCUCUGCUGAUAGAAUUCCCUGCAGUGGCCAAAUCAAAAUCAAACUCAAACAGUAUAUAUUAUUGCUACUAUAAGUAAAUAUUGAUUUAUAAGCAUCACUUAACAUAAUGUUUUUACCUUGUAAACAGGACCAAAACCGCCUUCUCCAAUCAUAUUCUCUGUUGAGAAGUUAUUCGUGGCUGUUGCGAUGGUUCCCAAAUCAAAUAAAGGUAACUCUAAUCCACCCCUUACCUUCUUAGAAGCUGUGAAAGCAGUUAGUUAUACAUUUGUUCAAGUGUCUAUAAUAUUUGCUUGCAACAUAUAUCUUUACUGUGUAAACACAAUCAGUAAUUUGACCUUGUCUCCUGUGUCUUAUCUGUAGAAAAAAGCCUCCAAUAGCAAAGCCCAAUAUAAGCAUUCCAAACCCAGAAGCAGCAGCACCUAUAAGCUUCAACUCUCUCUUUGCUUGCCCUGUCCUCUUCCUAUUCGAAUCUGUCGCAUGUUCUAAGACGAAAUAUCAAGUAUUAGUAAUAAGGUUUGAUAAAAUACAAUCUCAGCUAAUCUCCUUAGCUCAUUAUAGAAUGCACUGAAGUAUUCAUCAUACCAAGUUCUGUAACAGGCACGCGAAUAUAAACAGUCGGUACUGCUCCAGAUUCUGUGCUCAGCUCCCUUAAGUCAAUCAAGUCCCCAAACCACAUCAAACAGUUUCUUUCAUAAUCUGAGUAAGGAUCAUCAGCAUAAGCCGUGCAGUUACAUUCGCUUAGGCAUUUUCUGCGACAUUCAACAGAGCUCAUAUUAGCAUUCAACUGAAAAUUCAGUGAAUCAGGGAACUUGAUUCCUUCCAUCUUCAGAAAGUCAUCUCCCUUUUGGCAAUCUAAUGGUGGAUCUCUAUAACAUCCAUUUCUCCACUCAUACAUCCUCCAUUCCUUUUCAGAUCUCGGCUUGAAUCCCCUUAGACACUCACAUACUGGCAUUUUGUUAAUCUUGCAGAUGCCAUAAUGACCACACCUGCCAUAACUGUUACACAAAUCGUCUGUAGAGGCUAUCAUGAGAUUCCAGUGGUCUUUUUGGUCGUUCAUGAUGUAUCCCUCGAGCACGCCUGAGUAGUUCAUUGUUACCCUUAUGAUUGCUGAAUCACUGAAAGG